ACAGAAGCUGUGGCAAUAUUCUUUCAAGCAUAUACUAAACAGAUAUAAGUCCUGGUGACCUCAAAGGGAUUUUUCUGAAGAAGAGUAUGGAGGAUUGCAGGCUGAGUGUUUGAUCCACAGAAACAUCUGGAAAGAAAAGACAGCAUAAGACCAACAAAGGGAGACAACUUUUGAUAUAUCCAAACUUUCAAGGGCAACUUGACACUGAUUUUCUAAUUUACAAAAUUCACAACAUCUCUGAAGCAGGAGGAUGGCCGAGGAGAUAAAUGACAAAAAAUAUUUCAGCACAUCACCAGAAGAGACAUUUCCUUCUGCGAGAAAGAAUAGGGUGAAUUCCAUUUGGUGCUUCUCAUCUGCAAUGUUUAUAAGUGCUUGUGUUGAAAAUAAUAGUUAAAA